AGGCGGAAGUUUUCGGAUGGAAGCUUGUAAACUUAGUGGCGGACGGGUGAGUAACACGUGAGCAACCUGCCUAUCAGAGGGGGAUAACGAUUGGAAACGAUCGCUAAUACCGCAUGACAUAGCGGAACCGCAUGGUUUUGUUAUCAAAGAUUUUAUCGCUGAUAGAUGGGCUCGCGUCCGAUUAGAUAGUUGGUGGGGUAACGGCCUACCAAGUCGACGAUCGGUAGCCGGACUGAGAGGUCGAACGGCCACAUUGGGACUGAGACACGGCCCAGACUCC
rnacentral:rRNA from 1 species